AAUGCAGUGAGGAGGCAAUGCUCCAAAGCCCCUUCUCCCUGAAACAUGGACACAGAGAAGGAAGUCACCCAACAGCCCUUUUGAUGUCACACGAGUGGCAUCUCACACCACCACAAGUAGUGAAAGAAAUGGAAAAAUUCCCAUGGUCUUCAAAGGGAAAGCACAGCCCUGAGCCUGUAUGUAAUGCAGUAUAAAAAUCCAGAGAUUUGGACCAAACCAUGUUCCUGAACACAGACUUGAGAAAGGAGGGGUGGUGAGGUACUGGAUUCUACUUUGCAGCACUCAUCCCAGUAUCAAAGAUCUGGACCUUCCACACGCUGACCCAGACACCCAUCUGGAUCCAGAUGGUUUC